GGUACUUGGAGGGAGGUUGCCUCAUAGUGAGCUUGCAUUAUUUAAUGAUGCCCAAUACAGGAUAGACCUGUUUUCUGUAUC
rnacentral:pre_miRNA from 7 species